UUCUUCACAGUCAUUGUUCUUGAAUAUUUCUCACAUAUAAUAAUAAAUUAUCAUCCUUGUAUAGAAUACUGUCGCCGGGAUUAUGAUUUUUUGAAUGACAUCUGCUCCCAGUGUUUUGAUGAUAAAAUAAACCAAAAAACUGGAAUAGUUUCUUCGAAAGUGAAUUUGGAUCUACAUCACAGACGCCACACCGGUAGGUCAACGUUGCGCAUUAGUUUUGUUGAUCUGGACAGUUUGUUCAUAGUCGAUUCUGAAGAAAUAAAAUCAAACCAAAUCAAUUGUCAUCAACGCAUUGAUUGUAUGGAUUGUUUCGCAUAUGUUCCAGACGAAUUGUAUGCAUUUCAGUUAAGCGACAUAAACUUGUAUAGUGUUUGUCAGAUUUUUCUUGAAGUUGCUGUUGGCACCACUAAACCCUUUUUACACUCGAUACCAGAUGAUUUGGACCAAAUGCAUCAGCUUAACAAGUUAAUAGAUCUUUGCAUUAACUGCGAUAAGAGAAAUUUUUGUUCCAACCGAUUUUAUAUAGCCAAUUUUAUCAUCUCCGCGUUUAGAAAUAUUUCAAAGAGUUCAUUUAACAGCGGCAUAUAGUUUUGAUCGAAUAUUAGAUUCAAACACAUUUUUUCUAUCUCGGUAAUAAAACGAAUUUACAAAUUUUUGAA